rnacentral:miRNA from 1 species
AUAGUUGAGUAGUAUUCCAUUGUGUGUGUGUGUGUGUGUGUGUGUGCAUGGUAUAUAUAUACACACACACAUAUAUAUCUAUAUAUAUGCACACACUAUAUA